rnacentral:lncRNA from 1 species
GUCCGUUCAUCUAAUGAGGAUGAGAAUCUUAUAUGAUAUUUGAAUCGGGUCUCAUCGAAGGCAGAGUAGGAAUCAUAGGUGUAGUAUGCCAUGAUUAUGGACGGUGCUCCAACUGAGGCCAAAUCUAUUAAGAUUCUUGUUGUUUCCCUGGGAAGAGUAAGGCCUGAUUAUCUCUGGGAUAUCUAGCUGAACUAAGAUUUUCUUAAUUUGUAGGCACCUUCCUUUGAGCCUUGUUAGUGGUCUCAUUCUCUUGUGUUCCUUGUGCCAAUUUCUUUGGUUGGUUCUCAAGUGAUGUACAUACUAUUGUAGUUUUCAGGAUCAGAUAUUGGCUUCAUCCCAUUUUAAGAACGUUGUUGCAUGGUAAGCUCCAGGAAUUCGGUGAUAGAAUUGGGAAACUUCUGUCCCCAAACAGUUCCUUGGAGGAAAAAUAUCUCUGAUAUGGAUUGGGAGUAAAAAGUUCUAGAGGAGUGCUGAGAGAGCCUAAGUGUUCGAUAAAUUAUGAACUAACCACAAUGCAUCACAGUCUCCAUGAUUUGCAAGGAAUCCAAUAAAGUGGGGGAAUGUUCUAUUUGCUUUACUUUCAGGGACAGAGUCCCUGUCUCAUACCGGACAAGGACGGCUUGCAGAGGAACUGAGUAUGGAACAUCAGAUGAAGUUGGAAGAAGCCUAACAUUGCCUGCCCUGAAGUCAUCAGUUCAAGAUCUCUUGCUUGAGGAUACCUGAAGGGAAAGGGACAGAGUCCCUGUCUCAUACCGGACAAGGACGGCUUGCAGAGGAACUGAGUAUGGAACAUCAGAUGAAGUUGGAAGAAGCCUAACAUUGCCUGCCCUGAAGUCAUCAGUUCAAGAUCUCUUGCUUGAGGAUACCUGAAGGGAAAGUGACUACAGGUUAUGCUUGUGUUUGGUGAAGCCUAACAUUGCCUGCCCUGAAUCAUCAGUUGAAGCUCUCUUGCCUGAGGAUACCUGAAGUGAAAGGAAUCCAAAAAAGUGGUGGAAUGUGCUAUUUGCUUUACAUUCAGGGACAGAGUCCCUGUUUCAUACCGGAGAAGGACGGCUUGCAGAGGAACUGAGUAUGGAACAUCAGAUGAAGUGGAUGAAGCCUAACAUUGCCUGCCCUGAAGUCAUCAGUUGAAGCUCUCUUGCCUGAGGAUACCUGAAGUGAAAGCUCUACAGAAAUUUAUCACUAAACACUGAGAUGUAGCAGAGAACCUACAAAGGAUAGAUAGCCUCAAUCUUUAAGGCUCAAUGAGAAUCACCACAAAGACAUUUUAUUCUUCCUGAAGAUGCCUUCUAUGAUAACUUUGCAUGGAGAAGCUGGGCUAUUCUGAGAUGUCGGUUGCCUGAACAAUUCUUAGGCCUCAGAAGGAUGGCUAGACAACAUCUUUAUAAUAAAGAGUUGAGUCAUGCAAAUGACCUACUAUAGGAAUCUCUUCAGGUAAUAACUACUAGUAGGAAAUACCUGAAAGAAGACUCUUCAGACUAAUAUCUCAUCACCAUAUAUUAUCCUAAAGCAUAUUCUGAAGAUGAUAUCUACAGUGAUGAGUUGGAGUCAUAGAUGGUGCCACUUCUUCAACCAGCUAUAUCACCAAAACAAUCUUCAUUAUACAUGAUGAUGCCUCUUUCCUGUGUAGCAGCAGACACCACCUUCAGAUAAGAAAUGCUUAAGUGAGAAAUGCUCAUUUUGGGAUAUCAUCGGUGAAACUAUAAUUUGGGCAUGGUGCCUGUUUCCCUUGCUGCCACUUGACUCAAUCCCAGAAGCUUAAUAGAUGAAAUAGUAAUGUACAAGGAGCUCAAAAUGGUGGAAGUAAUUAGUGCUUCUAUAAAUAUAGAUUAAUGAUUUAAAAUAUGAUAUAUUAAAAAGAAAAUGCAUGACUAAAAAAACCUGAAUGCAUACUUAUAUGAUUAAUACAUAAAUCAUGUACCUUCUCUUUGGAAAAUUAUCCCCAUGGUUUCUCUCUGUUAAGGGAAGGUAUAUAUGCUUUUAAGCAAAAAAAUAUACACGACAUACACAUACUGUCUGGUGGGGGACAUCUAGUAGUAAGGGCAUAUUGUUAUGCAAAUUUCUACUUUUGUUUGAGUCUUUUUAUGAGGUUUUGCUAUUUCAGUAUUCAUAUUCAUACCUAUGUCAUUUGUUGAGUGACUAUAUGACUGUUUUUAGAUGAAAUAGAAUGAAAUAUUUUAAACAUUGCUAUACAUUGGCAGUUAUAUAGGUACCAAUUCUCUGUGCAAUACACUUCCAUACAUAACAUUUCUGCAUUUGUCUCCUCUAUCAGAGUAAAUUUACCUAGAACUUAAAUUAUUGAAAUUAAGUAUAUUAAUGCUUCAAGUUUUAAAAUUAUCAUUUCUUUCACAAUGUACUUGAAGAGAUUUCCCCUUAGAGCCAAUGAGUUAUAUUGCCAAAUUCUUCAAAAUACCAUUAUGGUGGAUUUUACGAGUGAUUCAGGUCCUUUCCAGUGUGUUAGCCGGAAUUGUUGUUAUGAAUUGUAUUUAUUUUAUUUUUGAGUUUGAUCAUUUUCAUGUUUAUAAGCCAUCUGUAUUAUUUUAAUUUCUUAUUUAUGUAAAAGCCUGGGAGUAUGGUGAAGAUUUAGUCUAAAGUUCUUUUACUGUUGACAAAAGAUAAGAUUUUGGAUUGUCAAACAUUACAUGUUUGUCACACUUUUAAACUUUGUUUUGUUAUCAGAAUGUAUAUUACUGUUACAUGUCUAAGUAUAACCAUGUUUGUUUUUAUGACUUCUAAGUUUCAUGUCAUUUUUUUUUGAAAAAAAUAUACUGAGCCCAUAAAUCCUUUCACCUAUGUUAAUCGUAAUUAUUUUGUGUUUUUUAAAGUGAAAUUCUUGCAUCAUGAAAAGAAUUUUAUUUUGAAAUCUUAGAAUUGCCAAGUUAUUUGCCAUUAUUUAUAAUUAUUUGCUAGUAAUUGCCCAUUUAUCUGUAAUGCCAUCAUGCAUAUGUGCUGUAUUCUCAUCCAUGGAUGGCUCCAUUUUUGUUGUGUGGAUAUGUGUGUCUCUUCUGCCUUAUGUCUCAUGUGUCUUCUUGUUGGAAGAAAUUACAGUUUAGACUGUAAUUUCAUCAACCUUAAUAAAUCAAUCUGGGAAAAACUUGUUUUAAAUGAUAUUGUCUUUGUAAAUCAAGCCAAAGUAUGUCUCUUUUAUUAAAUAUUCAAUUAUUAUUGAUAUUUUCACUAUAACCUUGG